CUAUACAUGCAGUCGAGCGAACAGACGAGGAGCUUGCUCCUCUGACGUUAGCGGCGGACGGGUGAGUAACACGUGGAUAACCUACCUAUAAGACUGGGAUAACUUCGGGAAACCGGAGCUAAUACCGGAUAAUAUAUUGAACCGCAUGGUUCAAUAGUGAAAGACGGUUUUGCUGUCACUUAUAGAUGGAUCCGCGCCGCAUUAGCUAGUUGGUAAGGUAACGGCUUACCAAGGCAACGAUGCGUAGCCGACCUGAGAGGGUGAUCGGCCACACUGGAACUGAGACACGGUCCAGACUCCUACGGGAGGCAGCAGUAGGGAAUCUUCCGCAAUGGGCGAAAGCCUGACGGAGCAACGCCGCGUGAGUGAUGAAGGUCUUCGGAUCGUAAAACUCUGUUAUUAGGGAAGAACAAAUGUGUAAGUAACUAUGCACGUCUUGACGGUACCUAAUCAGAAAGCCACGGCUAACUACGUGCCAGCAGCCGCGGUAAUACGUAGGUGGCAAGCGUUAUCCGGAAUUAUUGGGCGUAAAGCGCGCGUAGGCGGUUUUUUAAGUCUGAUGUGAAAGCCCACGGCUCAACCGUGGAGGGUCAUUGGAAACUGGAAAACUUGAGUGCAGAAGAGGAAAGUGGAAUUCCAUGUGUAGCGGUGAAAUGCGCAGAGAUAUGGAGGAACACCAGUGGCGAAGGCGACUUUCUGGUCUGUAACUGACGCUGAUGUGCGAAAGCGUGGGGAUCAAACAGGAUUAGAUACCCUGGUAGUCCACGCCGUAAACGAUGAGUGCUAAGUGUUAGGGGGUUUCCGCCCCUUAGUGCUGCAGCUAACGCAUUAAGCACUCCGCCUGGGGAGUACGACCGCAAGGUUGAAACUCAAAGGAAUUGACGGGACCCGCACAAGCGGUGGAGCAUGUGGUUUAAUUCGAAGCAACGCGAAGAACCUUACCAAAUCUUGACAUCCUCUGACCCUCUAGAGAUAGAGUUUUC
rnacentral:rRNA from 1 species